UUUGUUACAUUAAUUAUUACACAAACUGCAG
rnacentral:piRNA from 1 species